AUGUCUCAGGAGAGGCCCACGUUCUACUGGCAGGAGCUGAACAAGACAAUCUGGGAGGUGCCCAAGCAUUACCACAAUCUGUCCCCUCUGGGCUCCAGUGCCUACGGCUCCGUGUGUGCUGCUUUUAACACAAAAAUUGGGUUAUGUGUGGCACAGAAGAAGCUAUCCAGAUCAUUUCAUCCAUCACUGAAGCCAAAAGAACCUACAGAGAAAUGUGGUUUCUUAAACAUAGGAAACAUGAAAAUGUGAUUGGUCUAUUGGAUGUUUUUAUACCUGCAAGGUCUCUGGCUGAAUUCAAUGUGUAUCUGGUGACCCAUCUCAUGGGGGCAGAUCCGAACAACAUUGUGAGAUGUCAGAAGCUUACAGAUGAUCACAUGCAGUUCCUCAUCGACCAAAUUCUCUUAGGUAUAAAGUACAUACAUUCAGCUGACAUAAUUCACAGGGAACUAAAAACUAUUAAUCCAGCUGUGAAUGAAGACUGUGAGCUGAAGAUCCUGGACUUUCGACUGGCCUGGCAUACAGAUGAUGAAAUGACAGACUACAUAGCCACUAGGUGGUACAGGGCUCCUGAGAUCAUGCUGAACCAGAUGCAUUACAACCAGACAGUUGAUAUUUGGGUCAGUGGGAUGCAUAAUGUCCGAGCUGUUGACUGGAAGAACACUGUUUCCUGGUAUAGACCAUAUUGAUCAGUUGAAGCUCAUCGUAAGACUGGUUAGAACACCAGGUGCUGAGCUUUUGAAGAAAAUCUCUUCAGAGUCUGCAAGAAACUAUAUUCAGUCUUUGACUCAGAUGCUGAAGAUGAACUUUGCAGAUGUAUUUAUUGGUGCCAAUCCUUUGGUGUUGACUUCCUGGAGAAGAUGCUUGUAUUGGACUCAGAUAAGAGAAUUACAGCAGCCCAAACCCUUGCACAUGCCUACUUUGCUCAAUACCACGAUCCUGAUGAUGAGCCAGUGGCCGACCCUUACAAAAGCAGAGAUCUCCUCAGAGAUGAGUGGAAAAGCCUGACCUACAAUGAAGUCAUCAGCUUUGUGCUGCCACCCCCUGCCCAAGAAGAGACAGAGUCCUGA